GACGGGUGAGUAACGCGUGGGUGACCUGCCCAUAAGUGGGGAAUAACAGUUGGAAACGACUGCUAAUACCGCAUAAGCUGAGCAAUCAGUAAAGGAGGCUUAACAGCUUCCGCUUAUGGAUGGGCCCGCGUCUGAUUAGCUAGUUGGUGGGAUAAAAGCCUACCAAGGCGACGAUCAGUAGCCGGCCUGAGAGGGUGGACGGCCACACUGGGACUGAGACACGGCCCAGACUCCUACGGGAGGCAGCAGUGGGGAAUAUUGCGCAAUGGGGGAAACCCUGACGCAGCGACGCCGCGUGAGCGAAGAAGGCCUUAGGGUCGUAAAGCUCUGUUUUAAGGGACGAAAAUUCGCAGGAGUAACUGCCUGUGAAGUGACGGUACCUUAAGAGAAAGCCCCGGCUAACUACGUGCCAGCAGCCGCGGUAAGACGUAGGGGGCGAGCGUUGUCCGGAAUUACUGGGCGUAAAGAGCACGUAGGCGGGAUAACAAGUCAGGUGUGAAAGACCGUGGCUCAACCACGGGGUUGCAUUUGAAACUGUAAUUCUUGAGGGCAGGAGAGGAAAGUGGAAUUCCUGGUGUAGCGGUGAAAUGCGUAGAAAUCAGGAGGAACACUGGUGGCGAAGGCGACUUUCUGGACUGACCCUGACGCUGAGGUGCGAAAGCGUGGGUAGCAAACAGGAUUAGAUACCCUGGUAGUCCACGCUGUAAACGAUGGAUACUAGGUGUGGGAGGUAUCGACCCCUUCCGUGCCGCAGCAAACGCAAUAAGUAUCCCGCCUGGGGAGUACGGUCGCAAGGCUGAACUCAAGGAUUGACGGGGCCCGCACAA
rnacentral:rRNA from 1 species